CUUCAUUCGACUCCCCUCAUUCCACCCGAUCCCCUCCCACAGUAGCGUGAUGAAAAUAGAAAAGAGAAAUUGUCUUUGUUAUUGUUUUUGCUAAUAUGAUAGGUGAACAAAAAAUAUUUUGAGGGAAAAGUAACUAACAUGUGUCCUAUUUGCCUUACUACAUCAAUAUGGAGCAACAUGAAGUGCUUCUCUUGGCACAAGUUGAUUGCUUCAGUGGGUACCUUCUGUGCUCUCCUCUUCAGAAACUGAGCUUUAACUUGAGAUUGUAUAUUUUGCCGCGGGUCCGCACAAGAAGUUGCAAUAUGAUGUUUGAAGGCUUUGCAGCAUCACAGAUUUUCGCCUAUAUAUAUGAAUGUUCAUACACAGACAGACCCUGGCGAACUUGUAAGAGAAAUGUUUGGAUGUCAAGCAUGGUUGCACUUGAUUUCCUCGCUUACGGUAAUCUUAAUUAUAGGAAGAAAGAGAAUGAUCUA